rnacentral:lncRNA from 1 species
CGAGCGGAAGGGACUUGUGCCCCAGAUCAGGCCCGGGUAGCCUGCUUCCCUAUGUACCACAGUCUCAGGUUCCGCGGGAUUGGAUUGGGGCAGGCGCUGUGUUCCACUCACCAGAGGUCUUAGGGUCCCGUGGGGAGUCCCGUGUGGGCCCUUGCGGGUGUUGGGCAAGACUCUGCUGGGGAAUAUUUUUUUGUACACGUAACCAACUAUUUGUGUCUGUGUGUUGGGGUCUGAAGUUGAAUCAACUUUCUUCUUCCAUCACCUUCUACUGUAUUUAUUGAGGCAAAGUCUCUCCCUGAACCCUGAACUUGCCAAUUGGGGUUAAUUUACCAAGGUGGUUUGUCCUUGGAAACUCCUGUCUCUACCUCAAAGGUGCUGAAAUUUAAGGCAGCUACAGCAUCCAACUUGCCUUUACAGGGUUUCUGGGGAUGUAAACUCAACAGUCCUUACACUCAAAAGUCUAGCCCCUGCAUACAUCUUUUAGCAUCACCUCCUGAAAAAACAACACAGUGUCUCCUCAAGUAAUUGUUAGAAAGCCUGACUUACGGUGAUCCAAGUUCACUCCUAAGUUCAAUUAGAAUGCAUCUAUCCAAUGGUCCUUACAACAGAUGCCCAAUUAUUUGAAGAGAAUCCCCUUGUUCUUCCUUAAGGAUUUCUCAGGAGAAAAUGAAAUACUUAGACUUUUUGACCCUUAUUGCACAUAUGACAUGAUCUGCAGACACCCCAGUACACUGGUCACCUUAAAUGAACAUAGCCAAGCUCAUCAACAGAAUUCUGGAAGCAUCUUACCCAGAACCAGAAUCAAAAGUUAUGCUGACAUCUCAUUAGUUUUUUGUUCAAAGAGAGGAUCACCCGAUGGAGCCUUUGGUCACAGCAGCUGUCUCAGCAGCCACAUUCAUGCCGUUGGGACUGGCAGGUACCAUGGUCUCACAAACUGAACAUUUUCAAUUUUUACUGCCACUUUGAUCAUCUCUUUGCUGUUGAGACUUGGAGAAUUCAAUCUUUGGUGGUUUACUGGUGUACUCAGAAAGGGAAAAGGCCUAGGUACCCAUGCUACACCAGUUCCUGGCCUCUUGAGGAACCACAGAGGUUCCUCUGACAGAUUCACCAACUCAGGUCUUGUGUGACUCCAAACAUCUGACCCACGAGUUCUUUCAAUGUCUAUUGCUGAAUCAGUAGACCCAUUCAUUUACUGAGGCGACCUAUUCUUGUGUGGCAUUGCACUCUGACAUUUGGUAAGUCAAUUCCUGAAGCAAACAAAUACUUCAUUUCUAGGCUAUAAAUAGGGAUUACUAUGAGACUGAUUUCAACUUUGAGGUUUGUUGCCUAUUUACAAAGUCACAGCACAUUCAACCAGUUCCUUAAAGCAACAGUGUAUUCUUUCCUUUCUACUUUCAGAAGAGGCACAGUUAUGUAUCACACUCACCACAUCUGAAACAUAAAAAUAUAUGCUCUAAAGUGUUUAUUGUUUGACACCAAUAAUCAUGUGCCAUAGCACAUUUGAAAACCCUCCUUAGACAGUUUUGUCCAGUAUGUCUGGUUUUCUGAGAGACAAAGUGAUCUUUUGAAAUUCUCAGACCUAUGUGUACACUUUGGCUCUAUAACUUGCAAGACACAGAUACUUUACAAGUUGCCUAUAUGCUAUAUGUCUAUAUGAUUCUCAUGAUCAAAGACAUAUUCAAUAAUUAUUAUAAAUUAUAAAGUCAGAGCUCAAUGCCAGCUUAUUUAUUAUUCCUUCUGCUAUAUGAAAUUUUAAUCCUAAGUGGCAUUCAGCUUUGGGAUAUAUCAUCAUUACAUUUUCCAUGAAGCUUAUUUAAGUCUCUCCUGGCCUCAGGUAGCCAGGGAAUAUUGGAAAACACUGUGCCUAUUUACAGAACCCUUCAUUUGAUACUAAGUCCAUUCACAUGCCCCAUAUUGAACUACUGUUUAGUCUUUCCUUCAGUUGUCCAUGCUCAGCAAUUGUAAGCAUCUUGUUUAUGGUAGUCUCUGAGAUAAGCAGCAAGAUAUGAAUAUUCUGUGGAAAGUUCUAUGUAAUUUGAUAAAGAAAGACCAACAUAAUUUUUUAAAGAUUUAUUUCAUGUACAUGAGUGCUCUAUCUGUGUGUACACUUGCAUGCCAGAAGAGGGCAACAGAUCACAUUGCAGAUGGUUGUGGGCCACCAUGUGGUUAUUGGGGGAUUGAACUCAGGACCUCUGGAAGAACAGACAGUACUCUUAACCACUGUACCAUCUCUCCAGCCCCAGAACAACAUAAUUUUAAAGGUGGUGAAUGAACAAGUAGGUUAUUUAUUUGAAGCCUAUACAAAGUAUAGAGCUCAAAGGAAAGAACAUUGACAUCUACGUGAGUGGAGCGAGGAUGUGGGGAUAAGAAAAAUGUCAUAAAAGGCAUUUACAGACUGGUGAGGAAAGAGACCUCUCUGCCCUGUUUGCAAUUGUUCCUCAGUAAACCUGACAAAGGGUCAGUCAACUAACUGUUCAGUUCCUGAGAGAGACUGAAGCACUGAGGUUUUCUACAGCUUCAGAAUUCAAAGGGGAAAUUCUCUUUACCCAGAGGCCAAAAAGCAUGACUCUUCCUACAGGGAAGGUCUUGGAACUAUAUUCCAGUCAAGGGUUGGUCAGGACAAAUCUCUACUGUCUCUGACAGUGAUUCCAACCUAGCUAUUAUCAUCGACUGACAGUCUCCUUGCCCUAGGAGCAAAAUCUUUUAUAGUAAGCACAGAUUCCAAUGUGGCAAAAUCCUGUGCUCUCAAGGGUAAUAUUCUCUGGCUGUGAUCUAAUCUGGUAGGCUAUCAGCACCACUCAAAAGACAGAAAACCAUUCUCUGGAUAUCUGCAUCAUUGUUCUCACCCAUGACAACUUUGGGGGUAGAGCUAAGCAUAUACUUACAGUCUUCAGAGAGAUUUAAAAUUGUUUUCAGUAAAAAUUAGUGAGUGUAGGAUUAGGUUACACUUAUAAAUGGAAAUGAUGGUGCUAAGAAGGGAUCUAGCUCUGAGAGAGAUUGAAU